GCGAGAGUAGUCUAGUGGUUAUGAUGUCUGCUUUACAUUCCACCAAAUGUAUCGCGCAGAAGGUCGGGAGUUCGAUCCUCCCCUCUCGUA
rnacentral:tRNA from 1 species